rnacentral:SRP_RNA from 1 species
GCUGGGCGCAGUGGCGUGUGUCUGUAGUCCCAGCUACUCAGGAGUCUGAGGCUGGAGGAUUGCUUGAGCCCAGAAGUCUUGGGCUGUAGUGCGCUAUGCCAAUCGGGUGUCCGCACUAAAUUUGGCAUCAAUAUGGUGACAUCCCGGGAGCGGGGGACCACCAAGUUGCCUAAGGAGGGGUGAACCAGACCAGGUCCGAAGCGGAGCAGGUCAAAACUCACGUAAUGAUCAGUAGUGGGAUUGCACCUAUGAAUAGCCACUGCACUCCAGCCUGGGCAACAUAGCAAGACCCCAUCUCU